GGGGAGGCCGGCGGGGCCGGUUCGCCGCGGGCCGGGAGGCGAGGAGCCCGCGGCGCUCCCCAGGACGGUCGGAGCUGCCGAGGAGUUUGAUGCCCAAGUUAAACAGUGACCAGUAUGCUCAGCAGCAGAGGAAGGAAGGCGUCUACAGCAAAUUGGUUCUGUGGCUGUCAUGAGCAGAUUGUCCAGGCCCCAGACAUUGCCUUUUGUUCCACUCCAUUAUCUGAGAACAACUCUGACUUCAAAUCUGAAGGACUGGCCAGCACCAUGCGAACACCAGGAAGCUGUGCCGGGAUUUCACUGUGAUGGCAGGAAGCAGAAGUCAGUAGAGGACCAACAGACUUGACUCAAGAGGAAGAAAUUAAGCAAGAAGUUUUUGUCUAUGUUCCUGAAAAUAACUUGGGGGGUUUCUUCACUGAUGACUGAUAUCAAAAUGAUCUGCUUACAAAUCUGAGAAUAAAAAGUAUACCAGCAUUAGAGGAGAAAUAAAA
rnacentral:lncRNA from 1 species